rnacentral:snoRNA from 1 species
UUUUAGCAGUGAGGAUUGAUUAAUCAGCUUAAUGCCAGUUCUGCUUCAGAAAAUUCUUGAUCGAAAGAGCUGUAUAAUACCCUGAGCU